rfam:Microsporum canis CBS 113480 supercont1.5 genomic scaffold, whole genome shotgun sequence.
GCCCGCAUGGCUUAGUUGGUAAAGCGCAUCACUAGUAGUUUCCAAUGCGAUGAUGAGAUCCCCGGUUCGAAUCCGUGUGUGGGCA